GAACGCACACACUGAUGGUAGAUGCUGCUGUGUAAAGAGUCCAUUCACAGUCAUUCACACGCCGCACACGAAGCAGCAGGGUUUAAGUGUCUUGCCAGAGAACAUAUCGGACAUGUGGCUUGCAGCAGCUGGGGCCCUGAUCUUCCAGUUGGGAGAUGACCGACUCUACCACUGAGCCACAGCCGCCCCCAAAUACAUCCCACCAUCGCCGUGUUCGCUAACCAAGAACACAAGCUGGAGCUGCUCAGGGCUACGACGACUUGAAGUCUUACCUGGCUGUCUCCACCUGCGAGCAGCUUCUCCGUGUUUCCGUCUCAUCACGUCUGGAUUAGUGUUUCAAACUCUCACUUUUCCCAGGAUGCUGCAGAAUAUUGGUUUUGCCACUUUUUGAAAUUGUUUUCCUCGGGUUAUAAAAUAAAAUAAAAAACGCUUUGACACUGACAA